rnacentral:rRNA from 1 species
GGGGAAUCUUCCGCAAUGGGCGAAAGCCUGACGGAGCAAUGCCGCGUGAGUGAUGAAGGAAUUUGUUCCGUAAAGCUCUUUUGUUUAUGACAAAUGUGCAGACUGUGAAUAAUGGUUUGUAAUGACGGUAGUAAACAAAUAAGCCACAGCUAACUAC